CUCUGUGAGUGAGCAUGUAUACCCACCUGUGUGAAGUUUAAGGAGAUUUUUAGAAUCCAGCUCUUCCCCAAAGCUGCAUCAGAGUCAAGACACAUGUGACUAGCCACCUCAUGCUCCCACAACCUUGCCUUUCCUGCUGUGAUGGACACUUCUCCCCGCAAACUGAGGCAAUUCAAGCCAUGCCAAAAGAUGUGUUGCUCUCAUCUUAGAAUGGAUAAAAACUACUGUUUAAAUGUAUUGUCAUUCCAGGAACAAGACAACCAAAGAAAGAACAAUUCAGUGUGGGAAGAGAUAAUGGCUGCAGAUCAGGUUGACACCCCAGGGCUCCAAAGUCUGACACGAGACACCAAUACAUAUUCCAAAUGUGACAACAAUAUAAAACCACUUACGAUAAAAAAUGUCACCAUCUGAACCAGGGAGAAAAGCAGAUUAAUAUUCAAAGACAAAAUUAAUCACAACAUCGUGUUGCAGAGCGUCUAACCCAAAGGAGGACAUGUGUGGAUGGAAGGGACUAAGACUGUAUCUCAGAUAUAAAAAAUAAAAUGUCCUUAGAAAAGAAAGAAAAGCACACAUGCUUUCAUCUACUCUUUGUGUCCACUGCCGAGGACAAUUUUAAGGAUGAGGAUUGAGGAAGUUCUCCAUACACCCAUCAUAAGUGAAAACACAGAAAAUGCCUCUUGGAAGCUUCUCCUCAAGCCACAUUGGAUGUUACAUGGCUGAAAUCUCACAUGCUUGGAAGGCUGAACAGCUGGAAGAAUAUCACAAGUUUGCGGGCAACCUCAGCUACAUAGUAAGAUCCUGCUUUAAAAGAAAGUCAAACUUCCCUUCUAAGGAUAGUUAAGUAUUCUAAGCUCAAGGCCCUGAAGUAUUGUCCAUAGUGUUUCCUUGUCUUCCUUCUCUGUUGUUUCCAGUAAAAGAAAACCCAUGAACUCACA